CCUACGGGUGGCAGCAGUGAGGAAUAUUGGUCAAUGGGCGCGAGCCUGAACCAGCCAAGUCGCGUGAGGGAAGACGGUCCUAUGGAUUGUAAACCUCUUUUGUCGGGGAGCAAAAGACGCCACGCGUGGCGUUCCGAGAGUACCCGAAGAAAAAGCAUCGGCUAACUCCAUGCCAGCAGCCGCGGUAAUACGGCGGAUGCGCGGGUUAUCCGGAUUUAUUGGGUUUAAAGGGUGCGCAGGCGGAAGAUCAAGUCAGCGGUAAAAUUGAGAGGCUCAACCUCUUCGAGCCGUUGAAACUGGUGUUCUUGAGUGAGUGAGAAGUAUGCGGAAUGCGUGGUGUAGCGGUGAAAUGCAUAGAUAUCACGCAGAACUCCGAUUGCGAAGGCAGCAUACCGGCGCUCAACUGACGCUCAUGCACGAAAGUGUGGGUAUCGAACAGGAUUAGAUACCCUUGUAGUC
rnacentral:rRNA from 1 species